AGUUGUCAGUGAUAAAACGGAUCUUGCGUCAGGCAUGGCGCCCGACACAGAGGAUACCUUCUGCCUUUCUUCUGAGACUACA
ensembl:snoRNA